rnacentral:ncRNA from 1 species
CCUUCGAAAAGGCAACGCGACCGCAAGGUCGCCGCGCAAAGCGAGGGGUCUCCGUGGCUCCUGAGACCGCCCCGCUGCCGAA